rnacentral:rRNA from 1 species
GAUGAACGCUGGCGGCGUGCCUAAUACAUGCAAGUCGAGCGAACAGACGAGGAGCUUGCUCCUCUGACGUUAGCGGCGGAGGGGUGAGUAACACGUGGAUAACGUACCUAUAAGACUGGGAUAACUUCGGGAAAGCGGAGCUAAUCCCGGAUAAUAUAUUGAAGCGCAGGGUUCAAUAGUGAAAGACGGCUUUGCUGUCAGUUAUAGCUGGAUACGAGCCGCAUUAGGUAGUUGGUAAGGUAACGGCCUAUCAAGGCAACGAUGCGUAGCCGACGGGAGAGGGUGAUCGGCCACACUGGAACGGAGCCACCGUCCAGACUCCUACGGGACGCAGCAGUAGGGAAUCUGCCGCAAUGGGCGAGAGCCUGACGGAGCAACGCCGCGUGAGAUAUGAAGGUCUUCGGAGCGUGAAACUCUGUUACUAGGUAAGAACAAAUGUGUAAGUUGCUAUGCCCGUCUUGACGGUACCUAAUCAAAAAGCCACGGCUAACUACGUG